UAGGGAAUCUUCGGCGAUGAGGUUAAUAACCUUGUCGAUUGACGUUACCCGCAGAAGAAGCACCGGCUAACUCCGUGCCAC
rnacentral:rRNA from 1 species